rnacentral:rRNA from 1 species
UACGGAGGAUCCAAGCGUUAUCCGGAUUUAUUGGGCUUAAAGGGUGCGUAGGCGGCCUGGUAAGUCAGGGGUGAAAGACGGUAGCUCAACUAUCGCAGUGCCUUUGAUACUGCCGGGCUUGAAUGCAGCUGAGGUAGGCGGAAUGUGACAAGUAGCGGUGAAAUGCAUAGAUAUGUCACAGAACACCGAUUGCGAAGGCAGCUUACUAUGGUUUUAUUGACACUGAGGCACGAAAGCGUGGGGAUCAAACAGG